rnacentral:lncRNA from 1 species
AUUGUGAUUGAAAUGAAGACUACAGAGAACAGUGUCGUCAGCUCAAGGUCUGAAAUUUGGGGAAAAGUUGAUAUUUCUGUUUAGUUGAUUUGCUGUAUCAUUGAUAUAUAAUCAUCCUUUUUAUACGACCGCAAAAUUUGAAAAAUUUUUCGUCGAUAUUGCUAUCACGGCGUCGCGUCGUCGUCGUCGCGUCGUCGUCGUCGUCGUCGUCGUCGUCGGCGUCCGAAUACUUUUAGUAUUUCGCACUCUAACUUUAGUAAAAGUGAAUGGAAAUCUAUGAAAUUUGAACACAAGUUUAUGACCACAAAAGGAAGGUUGGUAUUGAUUUUGGGAGUUUUGGGUCCAACAUUUUAGGAAUUAGGGGCCAAAAAGGGCCCAAAUAAGCAUUUUCUUGGUUUUCGCACUAUAACUUUAGUUUAAGUUAAUAGAAAUCUAUGAAAUUUGACACAAGGUUUAUGACCAAAAAAAACGGUUGGGAUUGAUUUUGGGAGUUUAGGUUUCAACAGUUUAGGAAUUAGGGCCAAAAAAGGGCCCAAAUAAGCAUUAUUCUUGGUUUUUCGCACAAUAACUUUAGUUUAAGUAAAUAGAAAUCAAUGAAAUUAAACACAAUGUUAAUGACUACAAAAGGAAGGUUUGGUAUUGAUUUUGGGAGUUUUUAGGUCCCAACAGUUUUAGGAAUUAGGGGCCAAAAAGGGACCCAAAUAAGCAUUUUUUCUUGGUUUUCGCACCAUAACUUAGUAUAAAUAAAUAGAAAUCUAUGAAAUUUAAACACAAGGUUUAUGACCAUAAAAGGAAGGUUGGUAUUGAUUUUGGGAGUUUUGGUCCCAACAGAAUAAGGGGCCCAAAGGGUCCAAAAUUAAACUUUUUUUUUGUUUGAUUUCAUCAAAAUUGAAUAAUUGGGUUCUUUGAUAUGCGAAUCUAACUGUCAUGACUGUGUAUGUAGAUUCUUAACUUUGGUCCCGUUUUCAAAUUGGUCUACAUUAAGGUCCAAGGGUCCAAAAUUAAACUUAGUUUGAUUUUGGACAAAAAAUGAAUCAGUUAGGUUCUUUGAUAUGCUGAAUCUAAAAUUACUUAGAUUCUUGAUUAUUGGCCCAGUUUUCAAGUUGGUCCAAAUCGGGGUCCAAAAUUAACUUUGUUUGAUUUCAUCAAAAUUGAAUAAAUGGGUUCUUUGAUAUACCAAAUCUAACUGUGUAGUAGAUUCUCAUUUUUGGUCCUGUUUUCAAAUUGGUCUACACUAAAGUCCAAAGGGUCCAAAAUUAAACUUAGUCUGAUUUCAAAAAAAAUUGAAUCCUUGGGGUUCUUUGAUAUGCUGAAUCCAAAAAUGUACUUAGAUUUUUUUAUUAUGGGCCCAGUUUUCAAGUUGUCCAAAUCAGGAUCUAAAAUUAUUAUUAAGUAUUGUGAAUAGCAAGUCUUUUCAAUUGCACAGUAUUGCGCAAUGGCAAGAAAUAUCUAAUGCACAAUAUUGUGCAAUAGCAAAUUUUUUUUUUAAUUAGAGUUAUCUUUCUUUGUCCAGAAUAGUAAGCAAGAAAUAUCUAAUUGCAAAAUAUUGUGCAAUAGCAAGAUUUUUUUUAAUUGGAGUUAUCUUUCUUUGUCCAGAAUCAACUUAAAUCUUUGUUAUAUACAAUAUACAAUGUAUUAUUCACUUUUUACUACCAACUGAUAAAUUAAAAUAAUCUAACAUUCAGUGAUAACAAGCAGUUUUUUUUACAUCUUAAAUUUUAUGAUGUAUUUAAUGAGUAGUUAUUGUUGCAAACUCCAUUAGAAAUUUUAAUUGAAAUUAGUUUUGGAAUAAGGGAAAGGGGGAUGUGAUUAAAAAAUUGGGGGUAUUCAAUUGUUUCUCAAGUAGUUUUGAUGAAUUUAAGUCCAAUCGACUUCAAACUUAUACACAUUCCCUAUGAUAUGAUCUUUCUAUUUUAGUGCCAAAUUAGAGUUUUUACCCAAUUUCACGGUCCACUGAACAUGGAAAAUGAUAGUGCGAGUGGGGCAUUCGUGUACUAGGACACAUUCUUGUUUGAGAGGAUUAAUAUUCAACAGCAUAGUGAAUUGCUCUAAGAGAAAACAAAAAUUUUAAGUUCAUUAGAACACAUUCAUUCUGUGUCAGAAACUAUGCUGUUGUCAACUAUUUAAUCACAAUCCAAAUUUAGAGCUGAAUCCAGCUUGAAUGUUGUGUCCAUACUUGCCCCAACCGUUCAGGUUCAACCUCUGCGGUUAAAAGCUACGCCCUGCGGAGCAUCUGGUUUUAAUUCAUAUUUAGGAAGGACAAAUUAAUAGCAGAUAAUCAAAAACAAAAUUAAUGAGCAAUAUAACCUAGCAAAAUAUAAAGCUACCAUUUUAGUCUCCUCAAGAAAUUAGUCUCACCCAGUUAUCUCCCUUGAAUAUUUUAACCCAAUUUCAAUAUUUCAAGAGCAAAUUAUUUUUGGAACUUUCACUACUGUAAAUUCAGAAAUUAUUGUGUGCAUUUAUUAAUGCAAUUGUGUCAUUAAAAACUAAAAUGCAAUUUUAUUUAUUGCAAUAUUGAGAAAAAUUCUGUUUAAUUAAUAUAAAAAAUUUCAAAUUGAGUUUGAAUUAUUGCGAUUAUAACCUUGUUACAUUUUUCGCAAUACAUUGUAUAGUCGCCGUCAGCUAAAUUGUAGCGUUAUGUAAAAAAAUCAAACUAUCAACGCUUUCACUCGAAUAUAGUUUUUCACAUUCCAUUCAUAAAUCGCAAAAAGAAAAACCACUACUGACCAACCUUUUAAGUGAUCACACUGUAAUAAUCCUGACCUUCACAUUUUCCAGAAUAUUUUCCAUUGUAAUUCCCCAUCUUCGUUUCUAUGAGGAUCAUUGUUUACAUAUGACAUUCCACUGUAGCAGUCCUGAAAUGUUCCUUUCAUUGAUGUUAAGGUUCCCCGCGCUUUAUGCAAAUUUAUGAAAUUGAACUCCAGGAAACACUUCCGUAAAAACAAUGGCUGAUUCACCAUUCAAAAUCGUCUAUGAAAAAGUGAAGUCAGGGUUAUUACAGUGCGACACUUAAAAGGUAGGUCAGUAGUGUUUUUCUUUUUGCGAUUUAUGAAAUGGAAUGUGAAAAACUAUAUCUCAGUGAACCGAUUGAUAGUUUAGAUUAUUUUUACCGAUAACCGCUACGAAUUUCAGCUGACGGCGACUAUAAUAAAAACAUGGCUAUAACUUCUGAAUUAACAAAAAUUUUAUAAAAUAAAAAUGUGUAAUUAAAUCACCACAAUUAUUUGAAAAUUAAUUCUUCGCAAAUAUGAAUACAUCAACAAAGUAAAUAGCAAAAAAAAAAAAAAUGCUGCAAAGUCAGCUUGAAGGAGUUAAACAAAAUUAAAAAUGCAAUUCUUAUUUUGUUUACAGCAUUUGAUAUCAAAGAAAAUCAUGUUUUAAUUGAUACAUUUACAUCUUUCGCCUAUUAAAAGGCAAUGUUUGCAGAGUGGUCUAGAGGGUAAAUUGCAACAAUAAAUACAACAGAUUGUGAUUAUGACUUUUUGGCAUUAUUUAAAAAUGAUGUGGCAUGUUCAUUCUUUUGGAAAGUUAAGAUUUGUUCAGUUACUUGCUUCAGAUUGGUGGUUCACCUGGCCAUUCUACACCUACUAUUCUGAUUCAGAUUGGUGGUUCACCUGGCCAUUCUACACCUACUAUUCUGAUUCAUAUGAAAUAUUAUGAAUAUAAAACCACAACAAACAUAUCAUCAUUUGUCAAUAGUUUUACAGCUACUGUUUUAUUAGUUAAAAAUUUUUAACUUUUCUUAAACCUGGGAUGUUACAAAUUUUAAGGCAGAAGCUUUCAUGUUUUAUUUUUAUGAAAAAUGAAGUUAAAAAUUUAAUAUUUUAUUUUUAGGAAGCAGUGCCUUUUGCAGUUAUUGGAGCCAAUACAGUUAUAGAAGUUAAAGGUCGUAAGGUCAGAGGUCGUAUGUACCCAUGGGGUGUAGUUGAAGUAGAGAAUCCAGAACAUUGUGAUUUCAUCAAACUAAGGACCAUGCUCAUGUAAGUUGUAGAGGUUAAAGGUCGUAAGGUUAGAGGUUGUAUGUACCCAUAGGGUGUAGUUGAAGUAGAGAAUCCAGAACAUUGUGAUUUCAUCAAACUGAGGACCAUGCUCAUGUAAGUUGUAGAGAUAUAAAAUUCAAAAGGUCAGAGGUUAUUGAACUAAGUGGAAAUUUAAACCAUCUUUUAAGAGAGAUCAGGUGUCUACCCUGGCAGCCAUUGUACAAUGUUCUGAGUAAAAUUUGUUUAUUACUAAGCCAUUGCUUGAACAGUGUUGAAAUUUUUAUUUCAAAACUCUUUUCUAAAGACUGUUCUAAAGACUGUUUCAUGCUUUUAAAGUAAAAAGAGUAAUACAAAUUUAUGAUACUGAUUAGUGGACUUAUUUUGAAGUAGAUAUUACACUUUUACACUGACAGUUGAAAUUACAGGUGAGGACACAGAACCUUUUAUAAAUAGAAUAAAAUGUCAUGGUGGAAUUUAUGAAAGAAGUUACUUACAAUUAAAGAAACUUCACACGAGCUACUGCUACUGGUAGUAUAAAAGCUAUCUAUUAUUGCAUCCAAAAGUGAAUAAAAAUGUAGGAUUUAAUGAUUAUCAGGAUAUUUCUCUAUUUACAGUACACAUAUGCAGGACUUACAAGAAGUUACACAAGAAGUGCAUUAUGAGAACUUCAGAGCAGACAAACUUGCAGGAGGUGGUGGCCAGGCUGUGCCUAAGAAAGUCAGGUGUGUAUUUAACCCCUUAUUAUUUAUAUCAUCUAAGUCAGACUUUAUUUAUUAUCUGUUUUCUCCUAUUCUUCACUGUUGUUGUUGAGUUAUAGAUUCCUGCUAUCCAUUUAUUUUAUUUUUAUGCCCAUUGUGUGCUUUUCUUGUCAUUGUUAAUGAGGCCCCUCAUGGGGGGUCCUAGUAAUCACAUAAUCACCAUUUUUUUGCCAAUAUAAUCACAUAAUCAUUAAAUAUUUGCUUAUCUUUAGUAAUCAAAUAAUCAUAAACUAAAAAUACAGUCCUAGGUAAUCAAAUAAUCAUGAAAUAUUUGGCUUAAUAAUCAAAUAAUCAUUAAAAAAACGGCCAAGUAAUCACAUAAUCAAAAACCCCAUGAGGGCCCUCGUUAAUAAGGCCAGGAUCUCUGUGUUAUAAAAAGUGCGGAAAAACUAACUCCAUGCAAACAGAUUUUAGGUUUAUAUUGGAGUAACAACUUCUGUAUAGUGAUAUUCUUCUAAUGAUAUAUAUAUAGGAAUCUGUUUAGUAAUUGAUAUUAUGAAAAUAGAUGAAAAACCACAUGUUUUUUAAUGGGAGUUAACUCUUGAUUUACCCUAAAAAAAAUGAAAUAGUAGAAAACUUCAAUACUUUUUUCAGAUUAAGCAUCUAACAUUUUAGAUGAUAUUAAUAUUUAGGAACUAUUUCCACACAAAACUCACAGGGAGGAGGGGGUAAACAUUUUGUUAUCAAAAAUAUAAAAUAUGAUAGUGAAAAAUUUGAUAACUUGCACAAGUAAUAGACAGUGCUUAAUAUCAUGCAUAUUAUAUCCUCAUAUGAAAUGACACACAGAUAGUUUAUUAUGUGAAUAGCUUUCUGAAGAACAGAAUUGAAGAAAGAAUUUAAAAAGACAUCAAUUUAAUGUUCAUUGUAUCAUUUUAUCAUGUAUGUAACAUUCACACUUUACAGAGGAAGGCAGCGUGAAGAAGCUGUUGAGCAGGAGUAGGU